rnacentral:rRNA from 1 species
GCAAACUCCGAAUACCUAUGAGUACUAUCCGGGAGACAGACUGCGGGUGCUAACGUCCGUAGUCAAGAGGAAAACAAUCCAGACCGCCAGCUAAGGCCCCAAAAUCAUAGUUAAGUGGGAAACGAUGUGGGAAGGCUUAGACAGCUAGGAGGUUGGCUUAGAAGCAGCCACCCUUUAAAGAAAGCGUAAUAGCUCACUAGUCGAGUCGGCCUGCGCGGAAGAUGUAACGGGGCUAAGCCAGUUACCGAAGCUGCGGAUUUGCAAUUUAUUGCAAGUGGUAGGAGAGCGUUCUGUAAGCCUGUGAAGGUGCGUUGUAAAGCGUGCUGGAGGUAUCAGAAGUGCGAAUGCUGACAUGAGUAGCGUUAAAGGGGGUGAAAAGCCCCCUCGCCGUAAGCGCAAGGUUUUCUACGCAACGUUCAUCGGCGUAGAGUGAGUCGGCCCCUAAGGCGAGGCAGAGAUGCGUAGCUGAUGGGAAACAGGUCAAUAUUCCUGUACCGAUUGUUAGUGCGAUGUGGGGACGGAUCUUAAUAGGUCAUCCGGGUGUUGGAUAUCCCGGUUUAGAUGGAAGUAGGCGUGCAUUAGGCAAAUCCGGUGCACAUAUACCGAGGCCAUCGAUCGAGCCAGCUUGCUGGUGAAGUGAUUGAACGAGGUUCCAGGAAAAGCCACUAAGCUUCAGCUAACAACGACCGUACCGCAAACCGACACUGGUGCGCGAGAUGAGUAUUCUAAGGCGCUUGAGAGAACUCAGGAGAAGGAACUCGGCAAAUUGACACCGUAACUUCGGAAGAAGGUGUGCCCUAUUAGUGUGAAGUGAACAACGGAGCAUGAAUGGGUUGCAAAAAAUCGGUGGCUGCGACUGUUUAUUAAAAACACAGCACUCUGCAAACACGAAAGUGGACGUAUAGGGUGUGACGCCUGCCCGGUGCUGGAAGAUUAAAUGAUGGGGUGCAAGCUCUUGAUUGAAGUCCCAGUAAACGGCGGCCGUAACUAUAACGGUCCUAAGGUAGCGAAAUUCCUUGUCGGGUAAGUUCCGACCUGCACGAAUGGCGUAACGACUUCCCCGCUGUCUCCAGCAUAGACUCAGUGAAAUUGAAUUCCCCGUGAAGAUGCGGGGUUCCUGCGGU